rnacentral:rRNA from 1 species
GGGCCCGCACAAGCAGUGGAUUAUGUGGUUUAAUUCGACGAUACCCGAAGAACCUUACCAGAACUUGACAUCCAGAGAAUGCUGUAGAAGUACAGCAGUGCCCGCAAGGGAGCUUUGAGACAGGUGGUGCAUGGUUGUCGUCAGCUCGUGUCGUGAGAUGUUAGGUUAAGUCCUGCAACGAGCGCAACCCUCGUCCUGUGUUACUACAUUUAGUUGAGGACUCUCAGGAGACUGCCCGUGGCAAACGGGAGGAAGGUGGGGAUGACGUCAAAUCAUCAUGCCCUUUAUGUUCUGGGCUACACACAUAAUACAAUGGUCGGUACAAAGGGAUGCCAAACCGCAAGGUGGAGCUAAUCUCAAAAAACCGGCCUCAGUUCAGAUUGUAGGCUGCAACUCGCCUGCAUGAAGAUGGAAUUGCUAGUAAACGCAGAUCAGAAUGCUGCGUUGAAUACGUUCCCGGGCCUU